UAGGGAAUCUUCCACAAUGGACGAAAGUCUGAUGGAGCAACGCCGCGUGAGUGAUGAAGGGUUUCGGCUCGUAAAACUCUGUUGUUGGAGAAGAACGGGUGUCAGAGUAACUGUUGACAUCGUGACGGUAUCCAACCAGAAAGCCACGGCUAACUACGUGCCAGCAGCCGCGGUAAUACGUAGGUGGCAAGCGUUGUCCGGAUUUAUUGGGCGUAAAGCGAGCGCAGGCGGUUUUUUAGGUCUGAUGUGAAAGCCUUCGGCUUAACCGGAGAAGUGCAUCGGAAACCGGGAGACUUGAGUGCAGAAGAGGACAGUGGAACUCCAUGUGUAACGGUGAAAUGCGUAGAUAUAUGGAAGAACACCAGUGGCGAAGGCGGCUGUCUGGUCUGCAACUGACGCUGAGGCUCGAAAGCAUGGGUAGCGAACAGGAUUAGAUACCCUGGUAGUCCAUGCCGUAAACGAUGAGUGCUAAGUGUUGGAG
rnacentral:rRNA from 1 species